AUGGAUGGAUGGAUGGAUGGAUGGAUGGAUGGACGGACGGAGGGAUGGAUGGAUGGAUGGAUGGAUGGAUGGAUGGAUGGAUGGAUGGAUGGAGGGAUGGAUGGAUGGAUGGAUGGAUGGAUAGACGGAUGGACGGAUGGAUGGAACCGCAUCCCAGGGAACGCUGAGUUAUUUCUGUGGGAGCAGCUCUGGGAUCCCUCAGAGCUGACCCCGGUUCCUGCCUCUCUGCUGGGCCAAACUGGAGCCCAAAGUGGGCUCGGAAAAGCCCCUGGAGCUGCAAACCCCGCCCAGAGCCACCGCCCAUGGGUGUCCCCGAGGCCGGGGUGUCCCCAGAGCCCCUCAGGGCCAGGCUGGGGAAGGACCCCAAUCCCAGAGCUGCCCCCACCCCCUCCCACAGCACAUCUGGGACACCCCCGGAGCCUUCAAAGCCGCGUCUGGGGAGAGACGAAAGGCCCGGCUCAACUCCUGGCCGGAGAUGAAAGCAAAGCUCUCCCUCGGCGGCUGGAUCGAGUUCCCGGUGCUCGGGAGCUCGGGGCUGCGGGGGCCCAUUUCCUGCGCCGCCCUUCCAGCGGGGUUUCGCGGCACAUUCUGGGGGUGAAAGGGCUCCGGGCUCCCCGAGGGGCUCCCGGGGUGCUCGGUGGGCUGGGGGGGAUGAGGGGCAGCGGGACGGGGAGGGAAAAGCCCCUCCAGGCCGAGCCCGGGGCGGGGGAGCGGCGGGCGGGAGGAUGCGAGCGCCAGAUUUUCCUCAUUUUGUCCCAGGAAAUUCUAUUCCGAUUAAAAGGCGUUUGAUCUCCGCGGAGCGGGCGGGGGGAGAGGGGUUGGGUUUCUCUCCAGUUGUUGGGAUUUGUGGGGCUCAGCUCAAAGCUCCCAAAGUUUCGGGGCUGUGGAGGGGAAUUUUGGGGUUUGUGGAAAGGUGGAGGAGGAAGGGAUGGAGCCCUGAGCACCCUGGGGCUCCUCCUCUCCCCGUUUCCAUCGGGGAAUCCUCCAGCUCCUCACCUCCUCCAUCACCAGCAAUAAAAACGGGUUUUUUCCAGGCUGGAGAAAGGAAAUGUCCCAGUGCCGUGGGGGCUUGAGGGCUCUCAGGGGGUCUCGUGGAAUUUGGGGGUUCCCGAGGGCUGCAGGGGAUGGAUUUGGCCGGAGUUAAAAGGGACAAAAGCCACUUCAAAGGGAGGCAGAGCCACCACGAGGGACAGGCAGGAGGAGGAGGGGGGCUGCUGCUUCCCCCCGGUCGUUAUUCCAGCCCAUUCCCGGUUUUCCAGCCCCUUCUCUCCCAUUCCUGGUGGAGGAGGAAGGGGGGCAGUGACCUUUCCAUGGGAAGCGGCUCCAGCCCAGCUCCAGAGGGACCCCCGGAAGGGCUGGGACCCCCCAAAGACCCCCUGACCCCUUCGGGCUCUCCACCAACCCCAUCCCAAAGGCUCUUCCCAGAUAUCCCAGCCUGGGGAUUUUCAGCCUCCUCAUGAGGCGCUGGGCCCAUAUUGAACCAUUUUAUUCCCUUUGGUUGCUCUCCAAGCUGAGAAUUGUCCUAAAAAUAACCAACCCCAGCUCUGUGUGUGAUGUUCUCCCCCCUCUCCCAGCCCCUGGCUCCGUCCCAGCUCCCCCAGCUCCGGUGAGUUCAUCCCGACACCAAAAUUCCUCCGUUGGGGAUUUUUAAUCCCAGAGCUGCUUCUCACCCAAACCCGUGGCGGGAGCAGGAGGAUUCCCCCAGGACUGGGCUCGUGUCCGUGUGUCCGGCACCUCCCAGCUGGACAUGGCCCCUGGCAGCCAGGACGUUCCUUUGGGACUCCUGGCUGCAGCCCCGAGCUCUUCUGGGGGUGGAAUUUGGGGGAUUUUUGGAUUUUCCCACCCAAGCUCUUCCUCAGGGAUUCUUCCUCAUCCCCUCCCUCCCUCCCAGACCCUCACGAUGCCGUGAGUGGGGUGAAAUUUGGGGGAUUUUUGGGUUUUUCCACCCAAGCUCUUCCUCAGGGACUCUUCCUCACCCCCCUCCCUUCCAGACCCUCACGAUGCCGUGAGUGAGGUGGAAUUUGGGGGAUUUUCGGGUUUUUCCACCCAAGCUCUUCCUCAUCCCUUUCCCUCCCUUCCAGACCCUCAGGAUUCCACGAGCGAGGUGGAAUUUGGGGGAUUUUUUGGAUGUCCCUCCUGCAGGUCGCUCUAGCUCUGUCCCCAAGGCCAGCACCACCCGUGGACCCUUCUGGAAGCCCCAGGACCCCUCUGCUGCAGCUCUGCCCCACUGAGGGACACCCCCAGAGCCACCCUGGGGUUCGUGUCCCCACCUGGAGGGUCCCCAGCCCCGCCGGGCUCAUCCGGAGCCUUUGAGGCGCCGCUUCCGCCCUCGCCACAUCUUGAGAGCAGAUUGGGAAAACGCAAAAAAUCUGUGGGGUUUUUCCUUUGAAUCCCUCCACGGGCGGGAAAAGCGGGAUCAGGGCCAGGGCCGGACCCUCGGGAGGGGCCGGGACCCCCCCAGUGGGUCCCAGUGAGGAGCCAUGAGCAUAAAUACCCCCCAAAAUCCAGCAGGGGCUCCCCAACUCCUGAGGAUUCCUCAGGCUGCCCAGCAGCAGGGAGUAAGGAAUGCUCAAAGGGGAAAAAAGGGCAAUUCCAUGAAAAAUGGGACUGGGAACGGGACAGGGUGGCUGGGACCUCGUGGGGGCCGAGGGGAGAGAAGGGCUCAGGGCGAGGGGAUGGAUUUGAGUGUCCUGGGAAGUCUUUGGAGCCACCGGGAUCUCUGUGCUGUCCCUCCCAGUGCCAGGGACGGGAAUUCGGGAAUUCCAGCUGGGAUCCUUCCCUGGGAGUGGGGAUGGAAAUUCCAGCUGGGAUCCUUCCCUGGGAGUGAACCUCACCCCGGGGGUGGCUCCUUGUGGGGACUCGGGUCGUCCCUGCAGGCCACGCUGAGCUCCUCGGUGCCCUGGGGCACAGGGAUGUCCCCGGUUUUGGGGUGUCCCAGGCGGUUUUGGGGUGUCCCGGGUGGUUUUGGGGUGUCCCGGGUGGUUUUGGGGUCUCGCUCUCGCCCCUUUCCCAGCCCGGGCUGUGCCACUGCCGCCCUCUGGCGGCUCCUGCGGGCCCCGCACCCAGGGGUGUCCCCGGGGUGUCCCCGGGGUGUCCCCUCCCCUGGACUCCAUCCCACGGUCAGUGACAGGAUCGGGAUGGGGCUGGGAAUGGGAAUUCACCCGGGGCUGAUCCCCGGGGUGUCCCCGGGGUGUCCCCUCCCCUGGACCCCUGGAAUGGGAAUUCACUCAGGGCUGAUCCCUGGAGUGUCCCCAGUGUGUCCCCGGGGUGUCCCCUCCCCUGGACCCAUCCCAAAAUCAGUGACGGGAUCGGGAUGGGGCUGGCAAUGGGAAUUCACUCAGGACUGACCCCAAAACCCCCCUGAAGCCCCUCACCCAUUCCCAGGGAAAAGGGAUGGAAAACCCCCACUGCUCCCCAAAACUCCCUUUGGGCUGAAAUCCCCGAAUCCCGAGGGAUUUGUGAGGAAAAGCCCCCUCAGAGCCCCUGGAUGAGGAGUGAAACGCUCCCCACACCCCAAAGGUGCCACUGCCACCCCUCCCCAGGGACUCCAGUGCAGCCAGGCUGGUGAGGCAGGGCUGUAUUUGUGGUGGCACAGGGUGACAGCGAGGGUGGCACCGACCCCGGCACCCCCGGGGCGUGAACCAGGAGGAAUCCAUGUAAAAAUAGAGGGAAUAUUUAUACACAGGACCCUUUAAAAAGCCGGGAUUUGGGGUGGGGACUCCGGGGCUAGAACAGGUUUAGGGACUCCAGCAGGUCACAGCCUCGCCCCAAAGGUGCUCCUCAAUCUGUGGGGUCACCUCUGCCCCCUCCCCUCUCCUCCUGCUUCCACAAAAAACAUUUUUCACCUUUUUUUUCCCCCAGGAAUCCUCUCCCUGAGGUUCCCUGCACCCCUUUCCCCCCACACACCCACUGCUGCAAGCUCGAGCAUUAAAUACUGCAUUUAUGGUUAGACACGGGAUCUUUUCAAUUCCUUUUGAAAAGAAAUUCUUUUUUAAAAACGAGCCCUGGGAGCAGCAUUCCCAGCCCCGGGAGCUUUGGGAUGAGCUGUGCCAGAUCCCGGGAAAGCCAAACCCCAAAGCCCUGCACAGGCAGGACCUGGGGUGGAUCCAAAUCUGAUCCAAAUUUGAUCCAAAUCUGAUCUAAAUCUGAUCUAAAUUUGAUCCAAAUCUGAUCCAAAUCUGAUCCGAACUCCUGGGAGCUCCCGGGAGGCUUGGCUGGGCCCUUCCCUCGGAGAUAAAAGAAGCAGGGAGGUGACACAGGAGCAGGGCAGUGACAAAGGCAGCACGGAGGGCUCCCAACCCUUCCCCUCCUUCCCUCCCUCAACCAGCAGCGAUGAGGAAAAGCCAGCAGGAAAAGCCAGCAGGAAAAACCCCUGGAAGGCUCCCAAUCUUUCCCCUCCUUCAACGAGCAGUGAUGAGAAAAAACCAGGAGGAAAAACCCUCGGGGGGCUCCCAAUCCUUCCCCUCCUUCCCUCCCUCAAAGAACAGCGAUGGGUGAGGAAAAGCCAGCAGGAAAAACCCCUCAGAGGGCUCCAAAUUCUUCCCCUCCCUCAAAGAAGAGCGUGGAGGAAAAGCCAGCAGGAAAAGCCAGCAGGAAAAACCCCUUGGAGGGCUCCCAAUCCUUCCCCUCCUUCCACGAGCAGCGAUGGGUGAGGAAAAGCCAGCAGGAAAAUCCCUCGGGGGGCUCCCAAUCCUUCCCCCCUCUCAAAGAGCAGCGUUUAGGAAAAACCAGCAGGAAAAAAAUCCCUCGGGGGGCUCCCAAUCCUUCCCCUCUCUCAAAGAACAGCAAUGAGGAAAAGCCAGCAGGAAAAGCCAGCAGGAAAAACUCCUGGAGGGCUCCAAAUCCUUCCCUUCCCUCAAAGAAGUGCAAUGGGUGAGGAAAAACCAGCAGGAAAAACCCUCGGGGGGCUCCCAAUCCUUCCCCUCCUUCCCUCCCUCAAAGAACAGCGAUGGGUGAGGAAAAACCAGGAGGAAAAACCCCUCAGAGGGCUCCAAAUUCUUCCCCUCCCUCAAAGAAGAGCGUGGAGGAAAAGCCAGCAGGAAAAGCCAGCAGGAAAAACUCGGGGGGCUCCCAAUCCUUCCCCUCCUUCCCUCCCUCAACGAGAAGUGAUGAGGAAAAGCCAGCAGGAAAAACCAGCAGGAAAAACCCCUUGGGGGGCUCCCAAUCCUUCCCCUCCUUCCACGAGCAGCGAUGGGUGAGGAAAAACCAGGAGGAAAAACCCUCGGGGGGCUCCCAAUCCUUCCCCUCCCUCCCUCAACGAGCAGUGAUGGGUGAGGAAAAGCCAGCAGGAAAAAACCCCUUAGAGGGCUCCCAACCCUUCCCCUCCCUCAAAGAACAGCAAUGAGGAAAAGCCAGCAGGAAAAGCCAGCAGGAAAAACUCCUGGAGGGCUCCCAAUCCUUCCCUUCCCUCAAAGAAGUGCAAUGGGUGAGGAAAAACCAGCAGGACAAACCCUCGGGGGGCUCCCAAUCCUUCCCCUCCUUCCCUCCCUCAAAGAACAGCGAUGGGUGAGGAAAAACCAGGAGGAAAAACCCCUCAGAGGGCUCCAAAUUCUUCCCCUCCCUCAAAGAAGAGCGUGGAGGAAAAGCCAGCAGGAAAAGCCAGCAGGAAAAACCCCUUGGAGGGCUCCCAAUCCUUCCCCUCCUUCCACGAGCAGCGAUG